GGCUUAUUUGAGUGAUACAGCACACACUCCACAGUCCUUCCCACCGGAGCUAUACACCUGAGCCUUACCUGAGAUCAUUACCUCAGCCAGCCAUGAAGGUCGCAUUUUUCUUCGCCGGGCUCCUUGUCCUCGUGUUCGUCGCCUCGUCCUUUGGGGCUCCUGAGGUGUCAUCUCACGUUUCCUCCUCCUCGGGCCCCAGCCACCCACAUCCUCCCGUGCACAGGCCCAGACCUCACAGACCAGCGCACCGGCCCCGCCCCCACAGCAGCGGGUAUAGAGGUACAGCCACUGGGAAUGCAAACGUCAACCUUGGCGGUCCUCGUUACCACGGCUAGGGAGGCAGUGAGGGAGUCCUGAGUCUUCCUUUACUGCUGUCUUUCAUUUAUCUGUUGUCUCAUUAGCAUAUCAUUACUUCAUACGGAUAUAAAAAGAAGUCUUCAUUUCGUUGCUAUAUUUGUGUUAAACCUUAUUUCUUGUUUAUUAUUUGUCAUUGUUAACUGAAUACCUUGAUGCAACUCCAAAUUGUCCAAGAUUCCCAGCGUAAAAUUAAACCAUGAAAAUGCAA